GCAAAUUAUCUGAUAUCAAACAUUUUUGCCGCAAAUCUUUCAAUAAAUGCCAUGCGACAUCAUAGAGAUAAGCACACGAGUAACCAAACAGAGUAAAAAAGUGAUAGAGAAACAUAUCAAGAGAUAUGUAAAGGCCGUUUGUUGAUAAAAAGUUCAUAAUUUUGUCUUCAAAAUUUAUGAUGCAGGGUUUUUAAUAGUAUUCAGCAGGCAGUGGCGCGUGUGCUGCGGAAGCCGCUCAUCAUAAUAACUCAAGCACAUUGCAAUGCAUAAAUUUCACUUGCUCUGCUUCUUCUUCUGCUUCUUUUUCUGCCAUUGCUGUUAUUGCUGCUCUUCCUGUCACUACAUAAAGUCAUGCUGCUGCUGCUUGCCUGUUUUGUGCAACUGUUGUGUUUAUGUUUUGCAUGCUACGACUUUGCUGUCUUCAUAGUUGUUGUAUAUGCU